UGAACAUCGACAUCUUGAACGCAUAUUGCGGUCACAGGCUAGCCUGUGGCCACGUCUGUCCGAGAGUCGGCCUACUCAUUAUCACGACGCCCAAAUUGUCGUGGCUUGGGUUAUGCCAGCUGACGUGAUUUCCCUGGACCUGAUGGAUGGUUGCUUUGUAUUGUACCUCAGGUUUUUGGGUGUCAGAUCUGUGGCGUUUCCCUGAUUUAUCCGAACACAAUUGCAUUGUAUGUGGCAAUGUGGCGCCGGAGUCGUGGCUCAGUGUAUUUGUUGAUCGCGCUCCGUCUGCUACGUUGUGUUAUGGUGCAUAGAAAUGUUCGAAGUUCAAUAAACCCCCGACCUCGGAUCAGGCGUGAUUACCCGCUGAACUUAAGCAUAUCACUAAGCGGAGGAAAAGAAACUAACAAGGAUUCCCUCAGUAACGGCGAGUGAACAGGGAAAAGCCCAGCACCGAAGCCUUUGGUCGUUUGAUCACUAGGCAAUGUGGUGUUUAGGUUGGUUCGCAGGGGCACUGCUCCACUCUGAGUCCAGCAAUGAGUACGGCAGCUUGGACAUGGCCCAUAGAGGGUGAAAGGCCCGUGAGAGUGGAGUUCAGGAAGGACAGUGCCCCUCUGGACCGACCUGGGAGUCGGGUUGUUUGGGAAUGCAGCCCAAAGUGGGUGGUAAACUCCAUCCAAGGCUAAAUACAAGCACGAGUCCGAUAGCGAACAAGUACCGUGAGGGAAAGUUGAAAAGUACUUUGAAGAGAGAGUAAACAGUGCGUGAAACCGCUCAGAGGUAAACGGGUGGAGUUGAACUGCAUACUCCGUGAAUUCAGCCGGUGAGGAUGUUUUGGGCUGGGUCAAGUGGGUUAGACAUCGAGGUAUGCUGAGUUGCAUGUCUCAAUCAAUUUGGUUGGGAUGCACGCUACGCUCACCAUGCGUUGUGCGCCUCGGUUGUUUAUCUGCCCCCUUGCCGGUGCAUUUUCGCGGAGUGAUCACCACGACCGGCGUGGCUGUCCGGCUACUUUGGUCGAACUGGCCUUACAGUGUCCUUUGGGCUUUGUUUGGUCGGGAUGGCAGGUAGCUCGUUUGCUUGCUUCGGCUUGCUUUCGAGUGUAAUCAGCUGACCAGAGUGGGACUGUGCAGUGCGUCGGAGAUGGCGGCUUGUUGUGCGCAUCUGCGUGGCUCAUCUUCCGAGGUUAUCUGGUUUGGUUGCUAUGUUGCCUGUCUCGCCAGGUCGAGUAAUAGCCGGGUAGCUUUUGGUUGGUGGUCGCGUGGGGGCACUUUAAAGGGCCUAAAGUCUGUGGUGUUGUGGUAGACUAUCCACCCGACCCGUCUUGAAACACGGACCAAGGAGAGUAACAUGUGCGCGAGUCAUUGGGUGCUACGAAACCCAAAGGCGCAGUGAAAGUAAAGGAUUGGCUUGUCCAGUCUGAGGUGAGAUCCUGCCGUUUCUCACGCGCGGUACCACUGAGCUUGGAGCGGCAGGCGCAUCACCGGCCCGUCCCAUGAUGUAGACAUGGUCUUGUACUGUGCACCGUCGGGGCGGAGCAUGAGCGUACAUGUUGAGACCCGAAAGAUGGUGAACUAUGCUUGCGCAGGUUGAAGCCAGAGGAAACUCUGGUGGAGGACCGCAGCGAUUCUGACGUGCAAAUCGAUCGUCAAACGUGAGUAUAGGGGCGAAAGACUAAUCGAACCAUCUAGUAGCUGGUUCCCUCCGAAGUUUCCCUC
rnacentral:rRNA from 1 species